UGAAUCCGUCGAUAAACCCCUUAUCCUCUCAAAACUUCACCUACUGCUCUUCUUUUUCCUUUUUUCGCCUCUCCAGAUAUUGAGGUAACCACAACGAAGAUCCUCUCUUUUCUCUCUUUUCACCAAUCUUAACAAACACCUUUUUUUCUUUCACAUCUUCAUCAUCAUCAUCGUAAUCGACGUGGACGGAUCGUAGUCGACAUAAACUGGUUCUGUUGAAGUUUAUUUAUGAUGGAAAAUGGGGAGGAAAGAUUUGGCAAGGCCCAAAUGGACGACUGGAAUGGUGUAGUAGAUGAAACUGUUGAAGUGCGGCCGGAGGAUAAGGUAGCUGUGGUGUCACAUGUAUCAAAGGAAUCGGAAGGGGAUGAAGUAUUUGAGGAGGCAAUUGAGCCAGAAUCUCCUGGUUUUGCUGUUGAGGAUGUAGUUGCUAGUGAGGGAAGAAAUGAUGGCAACUCUGGGGAUAUUAAUAAUUCUAUUGAGGACAGUAGGAACUCUGAGUCAAGGGACAAUGUUGAGAACUUUGAGGAAGCAGUUGAAGUUUUACAUGAGAUACAGCAUGCCUAUGAUGAGUCUAAUCAGAAGACGGAUGUUAUCUUGAAAGAGGAGCCUUCAGUUGAGAAGGAAAGUUGUCAUGAAAUCGCUGCACCGGAUGAAACAGAAGUGGUUGAGAAGAAUAUCAAAGUAGGGAAGGGCAAAGAUGACAUGUCUGAGGUUGCAGAUCUGGGUGCUGUUAUAGAAACUGAAACUUCAGUGAAUUGGGAUGAAAGGAAAGAUAAUUCUGGCGAACCAACUGAAUUUGAGAAUGGAGUUUUCAAUCAUGUGAACUUGGGAGAAACUCAAAGUGAUGAUGAUGCAAAGAAAACAAAUUCUGAUCAACAGGAUCAAGAGGUUUAUGGAAAAUUGGAUGCUCAGGAUGCCGAUGAAGCGAAAGCGGGUAAUAAUGUUCUGCAGAACCAGGUUCAUUCAUACAAAGAUGCAUUGCUGCAUGACGAAAAGAAUGUUGAUGUGAUUGAAACAUCUGCUGUUCAGCCUGCUGGACAUCAGGACACUGCUGACGUCCACAACAAUGUCUCAGUUAGUUCUGGCUCUGUGCUGAAACAUGAAGGAGAUACCGAAUGGGAAGGAGUGCUUAAAUCUCUGGAUUCUGAUGUUAAGGAUGAAGAGCAGAAAUAUAUUUCUCUUAAUGAUGCUUCCACAAAUGGUCACCUCAGUGAAAGCUUGAACCCAAGUGAUGAACUCAAAGAAGAAGCAGGGCCUAGUCCAGAAAGGAUUAAUGGUUAUAAUAUGAAUGAAGAGCAGAUAGAUGUAGAAAGAACAGUGCCUAGUCCAGAACUAGUUAACAAGGAUGAGGAGCAGCAGAUAGAUGGAGUAAAAGCAGUGCAUAGUCCAGAACUCGUUAAUGGAAGUAAUAAGGAUGAAGAGCAGCAGAUAGAUGGAGUAAAAGCCAUUAGUCCAGAACCAGUCAACGGUAGUAAUAAAGUUGAAGGGCAGCAGUUAGAUGGAGAAAAGGCCGUGUGUAGUCCAGAACCAAUUAACUGUACUAAUAAGGAUGAACAGCAGAUAGAUGGUCAAGACAACGACUCUGUUUCUAUUCUACAAGGAGGUCACUUCCCCUUAAAGGCAGAAGUGACAGAAAAAGAAUCAACUGGUCCAGAACUAAUGGGUGAUGCUUCUGAUCAUCAAGGACUGAAAUUAAAUGAGUCCCCUACUAUGGAACCAGGAAAUUUGAAUGACAGGACCAAUGAGCAGAAAGAUGUUUCCGUUUCUGACUCUUCAGCUUCUUUGAACCAUUCCGGAAUUUCAGUUAGGGGUAAAGUGACUGCAGAUGAUGAAAUGUCUAAAUCAUCAGAAGCAUUGCCCUCUGACAAUAAUGAGAAGGUCUCGAAGGUUUCUCAAGAUGCAGUUGUUGGAGUUGAUAAAGUUGUAGAGAAGGAAUCGGUUGAUAAAGUUAUAGAGAAGGAACCGGUGUCAGUUGUUGUAAAGGACCUGAAGCAAAGUGUUCCUAGGGUUAGGGAAUCUGAAGCCAGAUCUGCAACGGAGCAUCCAUCAUCUUCCAAUGCAUCUGCAACUCGGAUACCGGCACCUGCCGGCCUUGGUCGUGCUGCCCCACUAUUGGAACCUGCUCCCCGAGUGGUUCAGCAGCCUCGUGUAAAUGGAACAGCAUCUCCAGCACAAAACCAGCUUGUUGAAGAAUCUACAAAUGGAGAGGCUGAUGAAUAUGAUGAGACACGUGAGAAGCUCCAGAUGAUAAGAGUCAAGUUUUUGCGUCUAGCUCAUCGGAAUGGACAGACUCCACAUAAUGUGGUUGUUGCCCAAGUCUUGUAUAGAUUGGGAUUGGCUGAACAGCUGCGGGGGAGAAGUGGAGGUCGUGUUGGUGCUUUUAGUUUUGAUCGUGCAAGUGCUAUGGCCGAGCAACUCGAGGCAGCUGGACAAGAACCCCUGGACUUCUCUUGCACAAUAAUGGUUCUUGGAAAAACUGGUGUUGGUAAAAGUGCAACCAUAAAUUCGAUAUUUGAUGAAGUUAAGUUUGACACUGAUGCUUUCCAGGUAGGGACAAAAAAGGUUCAGGAUGUUGUUGGCACUGUGCAGGGAAUCAAGGUUCGGGUGAUUGACACUCCUGGGCUUCUUCCUUCCUGGUCAGACCAGCGCCAGAAUGAGAAGAUCCUUCAUUCUGUCAAACGGUUUAUUAAGAAGACACCCCCAGAUAUUGUUCUGUAUCUUGACAGGUUGGAUAUGCAGAGCAGAGAUAAUGGUGAUAUGCCAUUGUUGAGGACAAUUACUGAAAUUUUCGGACCAUCAAUAUGGUUUAAUGCCAUAGUUGUUCUGACACAUGCUGCGUCUGCUCCACCUGAAGGCCCCAAUGGUACUGUAACAAGCUAUGACAUGUUUGUAACUCAGCGCUCUCAUGUUGUCCAGCAAGCUAUACGUCAGGCUGCUGGAGAUAUGCGCCUUAUGAAUCCUGUUUCGCUAGUUGAGAAUCACUCAGCAUGCAGGACUAACAGGGCUGGACAGAGGGUGCUGCCUAAUGGACAGGUUUGGAGGCCUCACUUGUUACUUCUGUCAUUUGCAUCAAAAAUUUUGGCUGAAGCAAACACAUUGCUUAAAUUACAAGAUAGUAGCGCACCAGGACAGCCUUAUGCCACUAGAACAAGAUCUCCUCCUUUACCUUUCCUAUUGUCAUCCCUUCUACAGUCAAGGCCACAGGUUAAACUACCAGCAGAACAAUUUGAUGAUGAUGAUGAGGCUUUAGAUGAUGAUCUGGAUGAGUCUUCAGAGUCGGAAGAUGAAUCAGAAUAUGAUCAACUGCCACCUUUCAAGCGCUUGACCAAAGCACAGCUAGCAAAGUUGUCCAAAGAGCAGAAGAAGGCCUACAAUGAUGAGUUAGAAUACAGGGAAAAGCUUUAUAUGAAAAAGCAGUUGAAGGAAGAGAGGAAGAGGCGGAAGAUGAUGAAGAAAAUGCAAGCUGCGGCUGAAAGUUUACCACCAACUGAUCCCAGCGAAAAUGUAGAUGAAGAGACUGGUGGUGCAUCAUCAGUGCCAGUACCCAUGCCAGACUUGGCGUUACCUGCUUCAUUUGAUUCUGAUAAUCCAACUCAUAGAUAUCGAUAUCUGGAUUCUUCAAAUCAGUGGCUUGUGAGGCCUGUUCUAGAACCCAACGGUUGGGACCAUGAUGUUGGUUAUGAGGGCAUCAACGUAGAAAGAUUGUUUGUUGUCAAAGACAAGAUCCCUAUAUCUUUGUCCAGUCAGGUUUCAAAGGACAAAAAGGACACCAAUCUUCAAAUGGAAAUUGCAAGUUCAGUGAAGCAUGGGCAUGGAAAAGCAACUUCUUUAGGUUUUGAUAUGCAGUCAGUUGGUAAAGACCUAGCUUAUACUCUUCGCAGUGAGACCAGAUUCUGCAAUUAUAGGAAGAAUAAGGCGACAGCUGGUCUUUCAGUAACUCUCUUAGGUGACGUCAUGACAGGUGGGGUGAAAAUUGAGGACAGGUUAACUUUUAAUAGACGGGGAUCUUUGGUUGUGUCUGGGGGAGCCAUGUUUGGCCGUGGUGAUGCUGCUUAUGGUGGUAGUUUGGAAGCGACAUUGCGAGACAAAGAUCAUCCUCUUGGUCGUUUCCUCUCAACCUUGGGCCUCUCGGUUAUGGACUGGCAUGGAGAUCUUGCUAUCGGAUGCAAUUCACAAACGCAGAUACCUAUUGGACGAUACACAAACUUGAUUGGCCGUGUCAACAUUAACAAUAAAGGAUCUGGACAAGUCAGUAUCCGUUUGAACAGCUCAGAACAGCUUCAGAUUGCUUUGAUAAGCUUAAUUCCACUUGUCAGAAAGCUGAUUAGCUACUCUCAACCAGCACAAUAUGGAUGAUGAUGAAACUAAGGCCAGACAGCUCCAUACAACCAUUUAGUGACUUACAAAUCACUUCUUAGUGGCCAUUAGCUGAUCGGCAUCACUGAACAUUAUAAUCUUUGGUAAAGAAACCUUAGGUGCAUCAAGAUAAUGAUGCUGGUAAAAGUUCUAUGCAAUAAAGAAGAUUUAGAAGGGGGAGAAGAUGGAAAAACCCUUUUACCUGUUUCUGUUCCCAUAAUAGUGCAUGACGUGAUCUAUUAAAAAAUUUCUACUCUCAUGUCCAUAACCUCUGGUGACAAUCAUAUAUAGAAAGAAUGGAUGCCAAAAGUUGAAAGCAUUUUUUAUGUUUCUGUCUAGAAACAUCCUUUUCCAAUCUGAUGAAGAACCUCUGUAUUGAUGGUGGAUAAAUUCUACUGUUCAAAUAUUUGCUCAAAUGUCUUAUUCUAUGUUGGAGAAUGGUGAAAUUGAUAUUCAGAAUUCCAUCAGUUACCUAAAAAUUUGUCCUACUGUGGUUAAGACUAGUACCUAGUGGAGUUGAUUGUAAAACAACUUGUCUUAUAGAUAUAACCUGUAUCAAAUGAUUGUGCAAUGGGCAGAAGUUCUUUGUGGGCAUGCAAAGUAUGCAAAUAAUUUGCUUUAAAUUGAUCAAGCCCAAUUCCGAUUAGUAAUGCUGCAGGGUUGUACUACCAUUUUGUUCUUCGCACCAGCUAAUUCAGGUCUGCAUUUAGUAAUGCUGAACAAUUAGACAACUGAAUGUUCAUCUAAUUGGAGUGAGAUCUGGAUUAAUUUAUAUGAAGUUUAUUAUUUA